rnacentral:rRNA from 1 species
CCUACGGGAGGCAGCAGUGGGGAAUUUUGGACAAUGGGCGCAAGCCUGAUCCAGCAAUGCCGCGUGAGUGAAGAAGGCCUUCGGGUUGUAAAGCUCUUUUGUCAGGGAAGAAACGGUGGGAGCUAAUAUCUCCCGCUAAUGACGGUACCUGAAGAAUAAGCACCGGCUAACUACGUGCCAGCAGCCGCGGUAAUACGUAGGGUGCAAGCGUUAAUCGGAAUUACUGGGCGUAAAGCGUGCGCAGGCGGCUUUGUAAGUCUGUCGUGAAAGCCCCGGGCUCAACCUGGGAAUUGCGAUGGAGACUGCAAGGCUUGAAUCUGGCAGAGGGGGGGUAGAAUUCCACGUGUAGCAGUGAAAUGCGUAGAGAUGUGGAGGAACACCGAUGGCGAAGGCAGCCCCCUGGGUCAAGAUUGACGCUCAUGCACGAAAGCGUGGGGAGCAAACAGGAUUAGAUACCCUGGUAGUCCACGCCCUAAACGAUGUCUACUAGUUGUCGGGUUUUAAUUAACUUGGUAACGCAGCUAACGCGUGAAGUAGACCGCCUGGGGAGUACGGUCGCAAGAUUAAAACUCAAAGGAUUGACGG